rfam:Ipomoea nil DNA, scaffold: scaffold2151, cultivar: Tokyo-kokei standard.
GCCCGUCUAGCUCAGUUGGCAGAGCGCAAGGCUCUUAACCUUGUGGUCCUGGGUUUGAGCCCUAGGGUCGGCA